UACCAGCACCCCGAGUGGUCGGGACGAUUAUUGGGCCUAAAGCAUCCGUAGGCGGUUCUGCAAGUCCCCCGUUAAAUCCAGCUGCUCAACAGAUGGGCCGCGGAGGAUACUACAGAGCUAGGAGGCAGGAGAGGCAAGCGGUACUCAGUGGGUAGGGGUAAAAUCCGUUGAUCCAUUGAAGACCACCAGUGGCGAAGGCGGCUUGCCAGAAUGCGCUCGACGGUGAGGGAUGAAAGCUGGGGGAGCAAACCGG
rnacentral:rRNA from 1 species